rnacentral:rRNA from 1 species
AUUGAACGCUGGCGGCAUGCUUUACACGUGCAAGUCGAACGGUAACAGGCCUUCGGGUGCUGACGAGUGGCGAACGGGUGAGUAAUGCAUCGGAACGUGCCAUUGAGUGGGGGAUAACGGUAGCGAAAGUUACGCUAAUACCGCAUAUUCUGUGAGCAGGAAAGCAGGGGACCGCAAGGCCUUGCGCUCUUUGAGCGGUCCGAUGGUCAGAUUAGCUAGUUGGUGAGGUAAAGGCUUACCAAGGCGACGAUCGUGUAGCGGGUCUGAGAGGAUGAUCCGCCACACUGGAACUGAGACACGGUCCAGACUCCUA